AAAGUAUUAAAACCAAAUUGGAAUGUUUAUGGAACCUGAGUUACACCAGCAUGUAUCUCCUCAGUGUAAAACACAGCCAAUCAGAUUUACUCCCACAUGGGUCCUUCACCACCAAACCAGCU